UGGGGAAUUUUCCGCAAUGGGCGAAAGCCUGACGGAGCAAUACCGCGUGAGGGAGGAAGGCUUUUGGGUUGUAAACCUCUUUUCUCAAGGAAGAAGAUCUGACGGUACUUGAGGAAUCAGCAUCGGCUAACUCCGUUCCAGCAGCCGCGGUAAUAAGGAGGAUGCAAGCGUUAUCCGGAAUGAUUGGGCGUAAAGCGUCUGCAGGUGGCUAUGCAAGUCUGCUGCUAAAGAGAGGAGCACAACUCCAUAAGGGCAGUGGAAAAUGCGUAACUAGAGUACGUUCGGGGUAGAGGGAAUUCCUGGUGUAGCGGUGAAAUGCGUAAAUAUCAGGAAGAACACCGGUGGCGAAAGCGCUCUACUAGGCCGUAUCUGACACUGAGAGACGAAAGCUAAGGGAGCGAAUGGGAUUAGAUACCCCCGUAGUCC
rnacentral:rRNA from 1 species